GAUGAAGAACGUAGCGAAAUGCGAUACUUGGUGUGAAUUGCAGAAUCCCGUGAACCAUCGAGUCUUUGAACGCAAGUUGCGCCCGAAGCCAUUAGGCCGAGGGCACGCCUGCCUGGGCGUCACACGUCGUUGCCCCCCCAUCUACUCCUUCGGGAUUGCGGGGGGCGGAUGAUGGCCUCUCGUGCGCCUCGUCGCGCGGUUGGCCUAAAUGCCAAGUCCUCGGCGACGCACGCCACGACAAUCGGUGGUUGCGAAACCUCGGUUGCCUGUCGUGUGCGGUCGUCGCCCAUCGAGGGCUCGAAAAAAUUGCCGGGCUUCGGCUCGACUUUCAACGCGACCCCAGGUCAGGCGGGGUUACCCGCUGAAUUUAAGCAUAUCAAUAAGCGGAGGA
rnacentral:misc_RNA from 1 species